GGGGCUAACGUGGUACAAUGGUUAGCACGCCAUCCUACGAAUCUGAGGGGCUGGGUUCGAUCCUAUCCAGUGGGCGCUCAUCUUACCUAUUUGUUCAUCCUCCCUUUCAUGCUGGUCGACAUAUGAGUAUACCUGAGGAAACUUGGGCAAGGAAAACUGUGCUAACCCGGAUGCUACAAUUGCCAAAGAUCCCGGAUGUUCCUACCGCCCAGAGGCUCAAGGAAUAAUGAGGCGAGAUGAGAUGUCUGAGUUGGCAAAAGUGUUCCUCGCGCAAUGCUGGGAAAAAAGGGCACAAAUGUCUGAAUAAGUGAAGAUAAGUGACUUUAACCCCUUGACUGCGGAUUUCCUUUAAGAAGACCUCAUCAAGCUACAGGAGUGGAGCAAAAAUUGGCUGCUAUAAUUCAAUGAAGAAAAAACGUAAUGUCCUGCACCUUGGGAGGGGAUAUCCAGCACACCACUACCACAUGGGAAACACUCCACUAUCCACCACAGAGACAGAGAAAGACCAGGAAGUAUAUGUUACCAGGCUAACAGUGAAAACCAAAUCCGUGCCAAUCGCAGCAGACGGGUUAAUUCAGUUUAAAACAUUACGUAACACUGAAAAGGAAGGUGUGUGAGUAAGAAGAAGGGAGGAACGAGAGGAGGAGGACCUAAGAAGCGAUACAAGGCGUUACAGGUCAAAAGAAGAAGAAGAAGAAGAAGGAGAAGGAGAAGGAGAAGCGAACCGAGGCCAUACCCAGCUUACCAUAUGCCCCUGACUUUAUCUCUACCAUGUUCUGCACUAAAAUAAUACAAGACACCUCUCCGUCCGAAAUUGGCCUCACUUUUGGCCACUCUAGACUUAUCACUGUAUGAGAGCAACAGUUAAAGGGCUUCUUUUUUUUUUUUUUGCAACAGUCAGCGGGCUUUUUUUUUUUUACAUAUUCUUUUUUGAUGCCCUUGAGUUGCUCUGUGUGCUGAAAAAAGAAAAAAAAAACAUGGUAAAAAUAAGGAUCACCAUUUUUUUUUUUUUUUUACAAUAAAGGAGGCGGCUCAAGGGCAACAAAAAGAGUAGAAAAAAAGCCCGCUACUCACCACUACUAACCCAGAACAGAAUAAAGGCCUUUCCCAAUGUCCUCCACUUCUGUCUGAUAAUGGUGUCUUCAUCCUGCUCCUGCAAAUGCUCUAGAGAUGAACUAAGAGCCUGGCCGGAACAGGAUGAAGUAGUACACUAUCAUCAGACAAAGAGAGGUGGAGGACAUCGGAAAAGGUCUGUAUCCUGCAUUGGACUAGUAAUGAAUAAAUAUGUUAAUUACUUUAAUUGGAUAUAUUAUCUUGUCUACUUUUAUCUGCUACCUUAUUCAUCUGCGGUUUUUCAUAUCUGUUAUAACGGUUCUCAGUAUCGAUCUCUCCAUUCAUCUUUGGGUACGUUUCAGUUUCCUUUUAAUAUCUAAGUCUCUGAUCCAUAUGUCAUGCUCAGGAGAACGAACUAAUCGAAAACCCUUCUCUUCAGUAGACAGGCUGAGAGACUCCCAAUAUGUUACCUUAUAUCUGAAAACACACUAGACUAGACUAACACUUUUUUUAUCUCCGUUUCUAGUGAGGGAUUAACUCUUAUGAUCGUAAAAGGUUCUCGACUAAAAUCCAUCGUGUAUUAUAUCCUUAUGUCCUUGUUAUAACAUUUUUUCAUAUUUUUUUCAGGCAUGACGAUCUGCCUGGCUGCUGACGAGGCACCAACCAGCAUCUUUUGGAGUGGCCGUCACGAUGCAGUGGCAACGGAGACAAUUCAAGGGCGUAAAAAAAAAAAAACCUACGAAAAAACCGUUACUUACUGCUGAAUAGAGUAGAGGAGUGGCCAAAAAGAGAAGUCAAUUUCAGGAGGUGUAUGGAUACCCUCGUCGCCCACACCUUAGCCGGGCCGUUGUUCACAGCUGCAGGAAAAAAAUAUGCUAGUGGACGGGGUGAGAGUGAUGGAUGCCGCUACACCGAGAGAAAGACGAAACCUCGGCUCGCACACUCUUCGGAACCUCGACUCGCUGCAUGGAUUCGCUUCAACUGCUCGUUCGUUUCCUCGCGCCGUCGCCUUGUUAACUUUUCAC